UUUAGCCCAGGAGGACAGGGUUUGCUGUCAAAGGCUGUCAGUCACCCUGGGCUCUCUGUCAUCUCGCAGCCCUGAUGCACAGAGGGGAAAUGGGCCCGGCUCCCCCACCCUGGCUCGCUGCAGGCCCUUGGCACCCAGCCAGAGCCCACAACUUGUUCACAGCUUUUUGGAAGUCCUGCGUUCUUCCUCUCUGUUCUGCCAGCUGAGACAAUUCCGCUCUCCUGCAUCUGGUCUCUGGCCUGGGCCCAGGCCACCCCACUGCUGUUCGGGCUGCAAGAUGGGACACCUGCCCAGGGGCAGCACCAUGGCAGGUGAGGUAGGCCCUCCCACAUCAAUCAUUAAUCAAGAAAAUGCCCCACAAACGUGCCUACAGGCCAAUCUGAUGGAGGCAUCUUCUCAAUCAAGAAUUCCUCUUUCCAGGAAUUGAUUCCAAAGAUACGCUGGCAAAAACAAACCACUCGCAUGAAGCUGCCGUGGCCGGGCUCUCUGCAGUGUGAAAACUUGAAGGGCCAUUAGUAGGGGAGGUUUGUCCAGGAGGGAAGGGGGGCUCAACAUCAG